AGUUCGGUGAGAUCAGAGAGCUCGCAUGUGGUGAUAGCGGAACCAUCAAUGACACUGUUUCUCCCGACGAAACCACAUUCAAGACGUCCUUGCUGUUGAGGUCGCAUGCUAACAGCGUCAUAACAGUCCGACUGAGUAGUAUCGACACCGCCUAUUACGUGGAUCCCGACGGAAACCCGCUUCCUCAGCUGGGAUGUCCAGAUCACCUGGAGGUCCGAACGAACACAGAGAUUAUCGGUCACAGAUACUGUACUUACAAUGACGGAGGAUUUACUGCCGAAACAUCAUCAGCUAAUGAGGUGCUCAUCAUCAUCUCAGACAACCACGGUUAUUCGGUCAGCUUCAGCAUUGACUAUAGCGUGAGUAGUCCGUGUGACG